GUCCCGGGUUUCCCGGAGGAAGUCGGCGCGCCGAGUCCCGUGCGGGCCCCCGGCCUCGGGUCUGAGCGGCCGGGGGCGCGGGCUGGGCGCAGGGGCUUGGCCGGGGCGUGCACGGAGUCAGCGGGCUGCGAAGCGGGCGGGGGCGGGGGACGCCGGUGCUCGGCGACCCCGCACAGACGGGGAGGGGACGGCUUCCCUGCUGCUCCUAGAGCCCGGAGCAGCGCGGCGCCCGCCCGUCUGGCAGGCCGUGGAUGCGGGGGUGCGGUUGUCCGGGUGUCCGGGGGGACGGACACGCGGGCCGCUCGGUGUUUCUCAGAAGGCUUUUGCGGCUCUAGAUGUCUGAAGCUCUAACGUCUAGUGCACCAGGUAGCGGCCACCCGGACGUCCCUUUCUGCACCGGCAGAAGAAAGCCGGAGCCGCGUCUCUGGAGUGAGGCUGUGCACAAAGUCCAGGGUGGCGCCUGUGGGUGACGCGACCUUCAAGGCUCUUUCCUCUUGCGAUUUUGAGAACCUGCUUCACUGCUGCGGACCAAGGACCGCUGGGAGCUCUGCACCGUUGAGAACGGCGGUGGCUUUCCCGCCACGAAUGAUGGGAUGCUGGGAUCUGCUUCCCAAUUAGCUGGGUCUGAGUGUGGGUGGAAACAGGUAAAAUGAGAUUGGCCUUAAGUUGGUAAAUCCUGAAACUGGUGGGUGGGCACAUGGCCUUCAUUAGGUUCUCUGCUUUGUGCCUGAGAUUUGUCGUUAAAAAAAAGUAAAGGGACAGUGAAACCCUAUACCCCAUUUCUCAGUGAGCCACAGCUUCCAUCCCAUGGGAAUUAUGUCAAACGUUGCUAACUAUUCAUCAAAGUCUUCCUCACUGUUAGUCUGCUCCAGCUGCCAUAACAAAGCACCAUAGCUCGGGUGGCUGAAAUAACGAUUUAUUUUCUCAUCGUUCGAAGUCCAAGAUCCAGGGGCCAGUGGGGUCGAUGCUUGGGGAGGGCUCUCCCGUUGAGUUGCAGACAGCUGCACUCGCACUGCCUCUGCAUGGUGGAGAGUGCUCUGGUAUCUCUUCCUCUUCUUGUAAGUCCAAUUACAAUCAACUUGGGGGUCAUGGCUUCAACAUAUGAAUUUUGGAGGGACACAAUUCAGUCCAUAGCACUCAACUACUUCCGGAAGAAUAGGACUGUACUGGGCACAUCGCUGCCCUGUGAGUCUCACUUUCCCAGCCCUCCUUGCAGUCAGAUGUGACCAGGUAUCAAAGUUACCUACCGUUAAUGAAAUGUGAGCAAACCUGGCAGGUGCACCUUCAGGCAUCAGGUUCCCACCCUGCACUUUCUGUCCCUGACACACCCCUUGUUGCAACCCAGCCUUGACCACAUAGACAAUGGUGAGGUCCUUUGGGGGCAGACACCACACUAGAAGGAACCUGAGUGACCCCAUGGAGCAUGACUGCCCACAUCCUGUACUCUUCACACUGGGGCUGUUACACAGAGAAAUACAAUCCUGUCUUUUCUAA